rnacentral:lncRNA from 10 species
CAAGAUGUCACUUUUACACAGGCCUGCAUUUGCAGAACUUACCUGGAGACACACAGCCAGCAAGAUGAGCAUCUGGAGCAGAGAGGAAUUUUACUUUAACGGAAGAUAGCGGUGAGGGCUUGAACACUAAGGAAUUAAUGAGAGAUCAGGUAACCAUCAACCUAAAAGAGCUCAGAGAUCAAGCUAAAAGAGCUUGGUUAUUUUCAUUCUUUCAAGUCUUAUUUUCAUGAGAUAAUUUCUUCCAAGGGGCAUUAAGAUUUGACUUUCGUAAUCAGGUCAUGAUGUGGCCUGCUUGCUUAUAUGAGAGGUUUUUAGUGCAAAGUGAAUUAAAUUCAUAGAAGAGCAUGCUGCUGCUUGAACUUAUAAAAAGUUUAGCUUUUAAUUUGAACAAGAGUAUUUUACUAGAGACAAUGGUGAUUUUAGACUAUGCUGAUUAUUUACAUAUUUAAGGAAAAGUGAGUAGAUUGUAGUUUUUCCAAAUUUGUGGCCAUUUUGAGAAGACAGAAAUGUAUAUGUAGUCUAGUUUCACAGAGAAUUCCUUUAAGAAAUAGCGAAAGAGAAAUUGAUAUAGAAAAUACAAUUAAGGCCUAAUUAUAUGUGUACUUAAUGGAUAGGUGAAGGCAUUAAGGAAAGACAGAGAGAGAAACAGAGCGAGAUCAUGUGUAUUUCAAGUGUAAACUGGCUAUUGUUUUAGGGAUUUGUGAAAGGAUAUUUGGAAAUCAAUUUUAUCACUUGAAUAUGAGAAAGGAUGCCAACAGAAAUAUAAUACUUCACAAAAUUAUUUUUGCACAUGGUGAUAAUCAUCAGUAAGAUUUACUUUUGAUCAAAUAAAGCAGCAGAACAGUGUAUCUUACAAAUAUGCUAUUCUCUUCAUGACAUGAUAAAUUCUGUGAAUUUUCGCAGAGUAUCUCUCUCAAAAAACUGUGAGGUUUUAAGAUUAGAUAAGGUAAGUAAGAUAAUACAAGGAAGAAAAGAAAGAAUUGAGAACUAAUAAAAAUUAAAUCAUCAGUUUUCACACUCUAAUAUUGUUGGCCUUCAAAUGGAAUGCCAUGAAUAAUUAAACACAUGAACAAAAAUGCUAUUGUGAUCAUUUCUCAAUAUUCACAAAAGAUAGUUACAACAAUCAAAAUUUAAUCUAUGCUUAAUACUAGAAUAUUAUUAGUACUUAGAUUUUGAAUAUGAUUUUUAACAUGUUGAAUGUUUUAAGAAAGGGCUUUAUCCCAAAUGAUGACAAAACUAUUCAUGACAGAAUAAUCUGAGAUUACGGGAAGUUUCCUUAUUUGUUCUUGUCUGUUAACUGUUACUCAAUUAAUUUGUUAACCUGAGGCUGAACAUUAACUCCAUAGCUACUUGAUAAUAAUGUUUAAAAAUAUGUAAUAACAGAAGUUGAACAUAUGUUUACUAGACACUAGGAACUAUUUUAAACCUAGGCAUUACUUUAAUUCUCACACUAUUCAUACAACAUACAUGUCUAUUGUAGUAUAAUCAAUAAUUUCAUAAAUAAGAAACAUAAAGCUUAAGAAUUUAACACCCUUGAGGCAAUUAAGAUGGUAAGUCAUUGAGCUAGAGUUCGAACCCAGGUCCCCCAAAAUUUUAACCAUCAGGUUAUCCUGCCGUCCAUAGAAAGGACCACAAAUACCCUACUCAGUAACUACAGGGGUUCCAGUAACUGGGUUACAGAACUUCAGAGAACCACUUACUAACUGAGCUAGUCAUUUAUUCUCCCUAAACUUCAUGCUAAUUAUCUUUAAUGCAGCAUUCAUGUUAGUACUUACAACCUCUUAGGUCUGAAGUAAUAAUUUAAUAAUGUAAUGCACAGAGGUAGUUUAAUAGUUUAAUUUCUAUUAUGCAUGACCCUAAGUAAGUGAGCAUUAAAAUAGCUUUUAUUAUUGUUCUUAGAUUCAUAUAUCUAUCUAUGUUUAUAAAACUGGGUACCUUAGAUUUGUGUGGCAUAGCAGAGCUUUCAAAAUGUUUUCACACAUAAAAUAUUCAUACAUAUGUUAUUUAACAUUUUACGUCAUGUUUAAUUAAGAUAGGCUUAACAUCCACGAUUUUAAGGCUUAAGAAUGACAUAUAAAAUUCAGGUGCUGCAACUCAACUAGCUUUUGGGAAAAAAAACACAGAAUACACUUUUUUUUAGGUCUGAGAUUCAGUUCUGAAGAGUUUGCUGCUUUACUUACUGAAUUUACUCACUUGAAAUAUGGCUUUCUUUCUAUGAUUCUGUGGAAUUGGCAACCUCUGUUUUUAUUCUAACAACGUAAUACAUUUCUAAAUUAAUAUUAUAUGGAUUUUUUCCCCCAUCAAAGAUUGCCCCCAUUCAGAAUAAAUACACAUGUCCCAUACUUUGCCUACAAUUUUACUUAUCCCAUUUGAGGAAUGUAUCUGUUUUAAGAAAAACAAGAAACAUAACCUGAUUGUGUUUCGUGGGGUCAGAAUCCCGUUCUUUGAGGAUUCUCUGAUCACAGUAGGUUCUCGACGAAUUUUGCUGAAAUUGUUGAACAUAAUUUGAGUAGCUACAAGCUUGGGAGCUAACUAUAUAAAAUUAUAUCCAUGCCGUCAAGUGACUUGCAAUUUUAUUGGUUAGAAUUCUCUUUGAAACAGCUUUUUUUCCAAGACUUUGAUAAAUGUAAUGAAUCUUUUUAGAAAAUAUAGAGAAAUGUAGAUUAUUGUAACCAAUGCCAAGAUACUCAUCUUGAUUUUCUUA